GCCUCUCUCUCUCUUAGCCCUUAACCACUCCCACUCCGACAUUUUGAAUCAACCUUCACCCUCGACAGAAAGAACCGACUUUUUCACAAUGGCGAAGUCGUCGACCACCACGACGACGCCGUUUCCGCCCAUUAGACCGGAGGACUAUCGACACAGUCCGGUCCACUACGCCGUCGCUUUGGGGGACCAUACAACACUGUCUCGCCUUGCUUCUUCGCUCCCCCGACUCGCUGAUCCGUCUCAGAUCCACACCGAGUCAGACUCGCUGGCUCAGGAGCGAGUUGCCGACCAGAUCUCCUCCAUCCUGGACCGCCGCGACGUGCCCUUCCGGGAGACGCCUCUCCAUUUAUCGGUUCGGCUUAAUGACUGCUUUGCUGCGAAGACGCUGGCGGCGGCCGGAGCUGACGUGUCGUUACAGAAUUCAGCUGGGUGGAACCCGUUGCAGGAGGCGUUGUGUCAGAGGAGUUCCGAUAUCGCGCUGGUUCUGGUCCGACUGCACCACCGCUUCGCCUGGUCGAAGUGGCGGCGGAGGCUGCCGAGGCUGGUGGCGGUGCUUCGCAGGAUGAGAGAUUUUUAUAUGGAGAUUUCGUUUCAUUUUGAGAGCUCCGUCAUUCCGUUCGUUGGGAAGAUUGCUCCUUCCGAUACAUACAAGAUCUGGAAGCGGGACGGUAAUCUCAGAGCCGACACGUCGCUUGCUGGCUUCGACGGCUUUAAGAUCCAGCGGGCUGAUCAGAGCUUCCUUUUCCUCGGAGACGGCGAUCGCGAUUUUGAUGUUCCGCCUGGCUCAUUGCUGGUGCUCAACCACGACGACAAGAAAAUUUUCGAUGCAUUCGAGAACGCUGGUGCGCCAAUGAGUGACUCCGACAUUGCCGGUUUCUGCGCUCAGACGAGCGUGUAUCGCCCGGGCAUGGACGUCACGAAGGCUGAACUUGUCGGAAGAACGAACUGGCGAAGGCAGGAGAAAACUGAGAGCGUCGGAGAGUGGAAAGCUAAGGUUUACGAAAUCCACAACGUCAUCUUCAGCUUCCGCUCUAGAAAAAUCUCCACCGAAAUCGACGCCGGAAGCGAACAGGUGCUACCGCUAGAACUCGACGAGGACGCUGAGGAAGGUUUCCUCGUCGCCGAGAAUUUCGGACCUCCCGAUCGCCGCAGACACAGCAGCUUCGUUCGCGAGGAAAGAGAGUUCCUCUCUGUAGGUAGGAAAAGUGUGGAUAUUCCCUCCGCAGCGCCUGACCGUCGCAGGCUAUCUCCGGCGGUGGCGCCACCGCAAACGAAAGAAAAAGAGUACUUGAAAAGUUUACGACCGUCGGUGUGGCUAACAGAGCAGUUUCCUUUGAAGACGGAGGAGCUCUUGCCAUUACUCGACAUUCUAGCCAACAAGGUGAAAGCCGUCCGCCGGAUGCGAGAACUGCUGACCACGAAGUUCCCGCCGGGAACAUUUCCGGUAAAGCUCGCGAUUCCGGUGGUGCCUACGGUGAGAGUGGUGAUUACCUUCACCAAGUUCGUCGAACUCCAAUCCACUGAGCAGUUCUACACUCCACUGUCGAGCCCUAGGUAUUUUGGACAUGGAGGACGAGCCCAAUCUGAGCAUUCAGAUACUCAACACCAAUCAUUCUCGUCGUCUUCGACUUCAACAUCAACAUCAACAUCAACAUCAUCAGCAUCAGCAUGGCUGAGGCGAAGUAACAGCCAAGCAAAUUCAGGAAGCAAGAACCACCACCAGCGAGGUCCGGGGCCUCAGCAAUCUGAGCCAUUUGCUAUGCCCAAUGGGUACACAUGGACCAGUAUUAUUGACGAUAACAAGAGCCGGAAAUUGAAGAAAUCCAAGUCCAUGAGAAGAUCCAAGUGAAAGAAAUCGACUUGGAUGGCUUUUGCAAAUCCAGUGUAGAUAUCAUAGAUUGGAAAGAGAGAAAGGCAGACAGAGAGAGAGUAAUGCUCCAUGGGAUGGGAGGAAUCAUCACUACCCUGACCUGAAGAGAAUAGGUAUUUGCUCUCUCUACUAAUCUUAGCAAUUAGAUUUUCCCAUUGCAGUAUGCUUAGCAAUGAGGUUUCUUUAUUCCUGCUAUAGCAUAAGCCAUAUCUUGCUGAAUCAUUCUUAGCUAGAAAAUUUUAUGUUGUAUAUAAGUCAAGAAAGCG